GAUUGCUAAAGUCCUAUUGCAUGCUUUAAGAUGCCUUGCGUUUGGUGAAUUGAAGCCUGAUAUGUCAACAUACUCUCUGUAAACACAGCAGCACAGAGGGCAAAGAAACACUUAUCCAGCACCACAGCUAGGACAAAAGGAAUUAUUUUGACAGUAAAUGGACUUGCAGCUUAAGUUGGUAUGUACCCAAUUGUGACUAAACCAAAAGAAACAAAUCUGGAAACUGAAGUAUCAAUACGUGAAAAGCGUUCUUUUGGUAUUGGGAGUGCCAGUUGUCUUUGUUUCAUGAACUACUUCUCCGUAAUAGCAUGCAGCCAUCUUCAAGAGGUGAGAAUUUCACUUAGCGACUUAAACAGAAGUGUUAUCUCAAGAUAAUAUAAUAUCUGGAGGUAAAACAGCAUCCCCAGGAUAAACAGGAAUACUACACUCUUCCUUAAAUAACAAAAACUGCGGCUGGGCGUGGUGGCUCACACUUGUAAUCCCAGCACUUUGGGAGGCCGAGGUGGGCGGAUCACGAGGUCAGGAGAUGGAGACCAUCUUGGCUAACACGGUGAAACCCCGUCUCUACUAAAAAUACAAAAAAUUACACAGGCGCGGUGGCGGGCGCCUAUAGUCCCAGCUACCCGGGAGGCUGAGGCGGGAGAAUGGCGCGAACCUGGGAGGCGGAGCUUGCAGUGAGCCAAGAUCGCGCCACUGCACUCCAGCCUGGGCGACAGAGCAAAACUUCGUCUC
rnacentral:lncRNA from 1 species